UACGGGGGGGUAAGGCGUUGUUCGGAAUUACUGGGCGUAAAGGGCGCGAUAGGCGGCCUUCUAAGUUCAGACGUGAAAUCCCCCGGCUUAACCUGGGAACUCGGCGUCUGAUACUGGGAGGCUAGAGUGACGGGAGAGGGAUGCGGGAAUUCCGAGGUGUAGCGGUGAAAUGCGUAGAUAUCGGGAGGAACACCGGUGGCGAAGGCGGUUCUGCUGGGACCGUGUACUGACGCUGAGGAGCGAAAGCGUGGGGAGCGAA
rnacentral:rRNA from 1 species